rnacentral:rRNA from 1 species
CAGCUUUUGACAUGUCCGGUUUGAUCGGCAGAGAUGCCUUUCUUCAGUUCGGCUGGCCGGAACACAGGUGCUGCAUGGCUGUCGUCAGCUCGUGUCGUGAGAUGUUGGGUUAAGUCCCGCAACGAGCGCAACCCUCGCCCCUAGUUGCCAUCAUUCAGUUGGGAACUCUAGGGGGACUGCCGGUGAUAAGCCGCGAGGAAGGUGGGGAUGACGUCAAGUCCUCAUGGCCCUUACAGGCUGGGCUACACACGUGCUACAAUGGCGGUGACAAUGGGCAGCGAAAGGGCGACCUCGAGCUAAUCCCAAAAAGCCGUCUCAGUUCAGAUUGUACUCUGCAACUCGAGUACAUGAAGGUGGAAUCGCUAGUAAUCGUGGAUCAGCAUGCCACGGUGAAUA